GGAAGUAAAAGUCGUAACAAGGUCUCCGUUGGUGAACCAGCGGAGGGAUCAUUACAGAGUUACUACUCCAAAACCCAUUGUGAACCUUACCUAUGUUCUGUUGCCUCGGCGGCGUGGUCAGCGCCCCCUCUGAAAAGAGGACGAUGCCCUCCCGCCGGCAGCACCAAACUCUUGAAUUUUACAGCGGAUUACAGUUCUGAUUUGAAAAGAAAAAACAAGUUAAAACUUUCAACAACGGAUCUCUUGGUUCUGGCAUCGAUGAAGAACGCAGCGAAAUGCGAUAAGUAAUGUGAAUUGCAGAAUUCAGUGAAUCAUCGAAUCUUUGAACGCACAUUGCGCCCGGCAGUAAUCUGCCGGGCAUGCCUGUCCGAGCGUCAUUUCAACCCUCGAACCUCCGUUUCCUCAGGGAAGCUCAGGGUCGGUGUUGGGGCGCUACGGCGAGUCUUCGCGACCCUCCGUAGGCCCUGAAAUACAGUGGCGGUCCCGCCGCGGUUGCCUUCUGCGUAGUAAGUCUCUUUUGCAAGCUCGCAUUGGGUCCCGGCGGAGGCCUGCCGUCAAACCACCUAUAACUCCAGAUGGUUUGACCUCGGAUCAGGUAGGGUUACCCGCUGAACUUAAGCAUAUCAAUAAGCGGAGGAA
rnacentral:misc_RNA from 1 species